ACGUUGUGGAUCAGCCACUACAUCACAGUCACGUGAUUUCAAUACGAAAACAUUUCACUUUUUCCCAUAUACAACAAACAUUAUUAUCCUUGGAUAGUCAACAGCCAGCAAACGCUCGUUGUUACUGUCGUUGUUGCCGCAAUUGCUGCGACUGCAGUUACUGUUACGACUGCUGUACGUGUACAGUGUGGUUGGCAAAAAGUUCAUGUUUUCAUUCUUAUAAUAUUUCAUGUGAUGUGACGUAGUGGAACAUUCCUGACG
rfam:Glossina fuscipes fuscipes unplaced genomic scaffold Scaffold589, whole genome shotgun sequence.